AGGGAUUUAGGUUAAACACAGACCAAGAGCCUUCAAAGCUCUAAGCAAGUAUAAAUUACUUAACCCCUG
rnacentral:tRNA from 1 species